UCAGGAUUGCUGAAACUAAUAAAAAUAAUAAAUAGUUAUAUCAGGUAAAGCUAAUGAUUAGAAGAUUUAGGAAUUUAUAAUUCUUAACUUUAUUCUCAAACUUUUAAAUAGGUAUGAAAUAAAUAUAAAAUAAUUAAAUUUAUUUUAUAUAGAUUUUUAUUGAAUAAUUUAGUUUUUAGUGGGCCACGUUUCUGGUAAGCAGGACUGGCGAUGCGGGAUGAACCGAAUGUAAAAAGUUAAAAGCGUCAAAAUAUUCACUUAAAAAGAUACCAAAAAGGGUAUCAAUUCAUUUAGACAGCAGGGCGGUGGCCACGGAAGUUGGAAUCCGCUAAGAAGUGUGUAAUAACUUACCUGCCGAAUGAAUUGGUCCCUAAAAUGGAUGACGCUAAAGUGAAUUAAAUUUAGCUUAUACUUUACUUUUAAAUAAAUAUAUAAAUUAAAAAAUAUAAUAAUUAUUUAAAAUGUAGGAG
rnacentral:rRNA from 1 species